UUGGGCCGCUCCUGCGGCACAUGGAGAUAUACUAAUUGAUUUCCCUGUGGAUCAGUUAUUUUGCAGUGAAACCGAGCAGGACCCUGCAGGGCCUCUUCGUGUCCCCCUGUUUCUUAUUUGUAGGAAAAAGGCUUCAGCCUCCCAGACUUUGCCAUAAUUCCAAAGGGCAGAUUCAGUUACUAAUUAGGGAAGGGAGAGAAUGCAGAAACAUAGGAGGAGCAGUCAAUAAACAAUAGUGCAGCACUAAAGCAGGGUCCUGGCUCCUGGCGAAUGGAUAUACAUAGCAAUGUCAUCUCUGAGUUCUUCUAGGUGAACUAAAGCUCCCAUCCAGGUGAAGGAUAGCAUGAGCAGAAUCUUGUGGACCAGAGACUGGUUGGAACCAGAGGGUUCAUGACUGAGAUUCAUGGAACAUCACCCAGUUACCUUACCACUGACAAAAAAAAGGUCAUACCCCUUGCCGACCUUCCCCCAAAUUCUGCCCAUAAAAACUCCUUCUGAAAACCUAGGAGUUCUGGCUUUUUGAGCAUGAGCUGCUCGUUCUCCUUGCUUGGCCCAGCAAUAAGACUUUCUCUGCUCCAAACUCUGACAUUUUGGUUUGUUUGCCCUCACCUGUGCAUCGGGCACAGGAACUUGGGUUUGACAACAGCAGAGCUAUAGCUAACAGUAGUCCUAAAACCACCAUGCUUUCCAUUCAAUUAAUGUAUUUGUGUUAGGCAGUUUUAGUCCCUGGGAAAAAGCAAUGUGCAAACACAAGAUUCCAGCAUCAUGAUGCUUAUUUUUUAUUCUGAGAGCCAGAAAAUAUAUAUAGACAGAUCAUUUCAAAUUUCUAUAGGCAUUUUGAAAAAAAGUAUACAGGGCAACAGGGUAGAAAAUAAACAGGCCUGUUAUAGCAUGGGGGAGAAAGACAUCUUCUGCUAUCUUUCUAAGUCUGGUAGGGAUACAGUAGGAUAGUUAACAAGUAGUUGCAGAAAUCCCAGUAGGGGACCACAGAUAGAGAGGGAAACCUUGGGACUUUGGGAGACCACUGUAAGUUAAUAAUGGCUCAAGAAAGCCCUCAGAAUGUCUUGGAAAGAAGGAGCCUUGCUUACCUAUAAAACCAUAAAGAAAAGAUGACCAGAGGCAUAUCUCAGCUCAUUAAAGUAAAAGAUAAAAUGAGGCCUGCAUUCAAGUUCAGGAAGAUAAUAAUCCUUAGGACCGAGGACAGGAAUUUAAUGGAAUGGUGACAUUCCAAAGUAGGAAACUCUCACUAUAUGGAAACCUGAGCUAAUUCAACAUACAUUACAGCACAUGUUACCAUCCUUCUGCUGAUCUGAGUAAGCACCCUGACAGUCCUAGUUUGACCUCAUAGGGCCAAAUACUCUCUUACCCAAUAUGAAAGAGGAGCUAAGGAUGUACGCCUGACGUCUACUUGCAGGAUGAGGAAGGUGGUCUUUUUCCCCUCCCCCCUUUCCUUAGAUUAUAAAAAUGUAGCCCACAUCAUCCUCAGAGCCAAGCCUGCCUGCCUGUAUCCCUCACAAGUGUCCUAUCUUAAUAAAUCUAUUUCUUGCCUAUUACUUUGUCUCUAGCUGACUUCCUUCCCUGAGACACAAAGAAUCUAAGCCUCACUAAGUCCAAACACCUCGUAAGUGAUUCUAAUUAAAAAACCAUGGGUUUGAGUCCUGAUCUGGGUUUAGGCUGGGUUCAAGUCAGAGGUGUUUCAGUUUCAAGUCCUCCCGGCAGGUCUAAGAAUUAAAUCAACAUGAAAAGAUUAACAGAGAUAAUCAAACAAAAGUUUAAUAAUGUGUAUAUUAUUUCUUGGGUGAGACCCAAGAAAACUGAGCAAUUCUCUAAAAUGUCCAGAAACUCUCACCUGGAAUACCGACUUCAGCUAAAGACAAAAGACAACGUUGGGGGUAGUAGCCUGAGACUUUAAAGGGGAGGAAGGCAACUGACAAGGAGACAAAAAAAAGAGAAUAUUCAGGAAACAAAUGUUUGCUGGGCCUGCAGAGACAAUAGGACCAGGAGGAAUUUUAACAAAGACUUUGCAGGGAUGCUCACCUAGUUCUUAAUAUGCUUAUCUAUGGUGAUAACUCCCUUCUAGGAAGAGGCCCUCAAUCUACAUUCUAUUAGGUAGUUAGGAGAAAGGUCAAAGCUGAUGAGUCUUUUGGUACUUAAAAACCAGUCUAAAUUAAUUCUUGUGCCAAAGAAACCCAUUCUAGGGUGCCAAAUUUUGCUUCCCUACAAUGGCUAGAGUGGUCAAGGCAGCCCUCUUGUUGCCAAAACUCUGUCCACUGGUGCUGAAUAGAAAUUCACAGACAGAGUUUUGAGUGAAGGAGAAAAAAACAGCUUUAUAGCUUUGCCGGGCAAAAGAGGCCACAGCAGGCCUCCUAAAGACUGUGCCCUCCCUUCGGAGAGAUUAGGAAGUGGUUUUAUAGUUUGGGAGAAGAAAACAGGGCCACAGAUAAGGAUCAGGGUAGAUGGCAAGCUAAAUUCUUCUCUGAAUUUGGUGUUCAAUGGCCCCAGGACUGGGUUUGGGCGGAGAGGGGGGGAGUUCUUCCUCUUUGGUUUCCAUCUGUUGGGGGUUAUGGUUCUGCAGAACUCAAAAAUAUUGUUACUCGGAACUGUAGCUGCCGGCCUAUGCCACAGUCACAGCUCAAUGCCAGAUCCAAGCUGCUUCUGUGGAUUAUACCACACCUCACGGCAAUGCCGGAUCCUUAACUCACUGAGUGAGGCCAGGGAUCAAACAUGUGUCCUCACGGAUACUAGUCAGGUUCAUUACCGCUGAGCCACCACAGGAACUCUUGCACUAUAGUUUCUUGACUGUUCCUCCCUUGUCCCAGAUUAGCAACUGUUUGAACCUGCCCUUUGGAACUCAAGGAAGGUCUUGAAAACUGAAGCUUAGUCCCAAAAACAAGAAAUGGGGGACACAGAAAGCCUUAUGCCCAGGGGCCCCACAGGGCCCUGCUUGGUGUCUCUCCAGUUUGAGCUGACACCUGAAUGAACACAUCAGAGAAACAACAGUUAAUGCUUGGCGAAUACUGUCCUGGUCUCUCUCUCCCUGAGACCACACUGACUGUUAUUUACACGUCUGCACAUCUCCUUUACCCAGAAAAACCAUGAAAGUCUAAGUCUUAUUUCACUAUUACAGACAGGAAUCUGAGGUUCAAUGGUUAGUAGGGCAAAUAAAUGACUCUAAGGGUAUUUGCCUUCACAUUACUGGCUAAACAACGGUGUUGCAAUGUACUGUGGUACAGGUUCACAGACUGCUGAGGACACCUUAAGCUCUGGCUUCUCCAAGAAGGAUCCAAAGAGAGGGGCUCAGAAGGCCACUGUCCUUCCUUCUCACCUAACCUUAACCUCCCUCAUUUCCAACAUAACGACCUAGGAUCUAGAGCCCAGAGAAAAGAAAAGUAGGCAGAUCCUCCAAAGGCUGACACUGCGCCAAGGAUUUCCUGGCUGCUAGGAAGCAAACAAUUUACCUAUAGAUCUCCAGGCAAGGACCAAAACUACAGGCGCGGAGGAGAAAACCGAUGCCAAACACACUGCGCCAAGGACUUCCUGGCUGCUAGGAAGCAAACAAUUUACCUAUAGAUCUCCAGGCAAGGACCAAAACUACAGGCGCGGAGGAGAAAACCGAUGCCAAACUUCCUGCACAGCCACGCCUUCCC
rnacentral:lncRNA from 1 species